CCCCAGGGGUGACAGCUGCAGAGGAGGUGAGGGGUCCCCACACUGCUGCCCAGUUGGCUGGCCCCCAAGCUCCUCCUGCAGUGGCAAGUCUUUGACCACACUGGCACUUCCUUUGAAGGGACCUACUCCACCUGAGGUGGCCUUCUCACCUCUGGAAGGAGGCCAGAAAGCUGCGGUCUAUGCCUUGGUAUUGAGCACUCUAGUUUUUCUCUGAGAUGUGAUGAAGAAUUUCCCCUCCAGCAGUAUGUGGCCCAACUGCCUGGGGAGGAAGAAGCAGGCCCUUCCCAUCCUCGGUGAAACGGAACCCUGUGUUGUAGAUGCAGUGGCUUCAUGAGGAGAGUGGCCUUGUCUCUCAAUGCAGAAAACAAGGCUCAGAUGGGGCCACCGACAUUCCCAAAUCGAACAUAUUUGGUUGGAUAAAGGAGCGGAGGCAGGAACUCUGGAUUUUCUCUUAGCUGUGCUGAAGGAGGCCUGCCGAGGUCGGGGUACCCAGAGCAGAAGUGGCUGCAUGAGGUGUGUCAGG